rnacentral:rRNA from 1 species
AGUGAACGCUGGCGGUAGGCCUAACACAUGCAAGUCGAACGGCAGCACAGUAAGAUCUUGCUCUUACUGUUGGCGAGUGGCGGACGGGUGAGGAAUACAUCGGAAUCUACUUUUUCGUGGGGGACAACGUGGGGAAAGUUAUACUAAUAGCUCAUAUGAUCUACGGGUGAAAUCAGGGGAGCUUGGGAGUUUGGGUGAUUGUAUGAGCCGAUGUCGGAUUAGCUAGUUGGCAGGGUAACGGCCCACCAAGGCAACGAUCCGUAGCUGGUCUGAGAGGAUGAUCGGCCACACUGGAACUGAGACACGGUCCAGACUCCUACGGGAGGCAGCAGUGGGGAAUAUUGGACAAUGGGCGCAAGCCUGAUCCAGCCAUGCCGCGUGAGUGAAGAAGGCCUUCGGGUUGUAAAGCCCUUUUAUUGGGAAAGAACAGCAGCAGAUGAAUCCCCCCCUGUUCUGACGGUACCUAAACAGUAAGCCCCGGCUAACUUCGUG